GAAGCCCAGGGAAGGCUGUGCAGGGACGUCUCAUCUCCCCUUUGUGAUGCUGACACCAGCGGCCUGGAGUCGUGGGAAGGACGGGAGCCUUACCAAGACUCCUGCAAAAACCCUUGGACCUCUCCGCGUGGUUGCCAUCUCUGGCCCCUCUCAGGCUGUGCUUACCUGUGACAGCAGCUCUGUCCCCACCCCAUGGGCCUCAUGAAUAAAUGGCUUCUUGCCGGCCUUCCUUUCUGACUUAUUUCCCUUCCUCCCUCUCUUUUUUCCUUCUCUCCUUCCUUCCCUCCCCUCCUCUUUUUUCUUCCUUUUCUCCCUCCCUCCCUUCCUACCCACCUCCCUCCCUUUCGUCCUUUCUUCUUUCCUGCCUUCCCUCCCAUUUUCCUCCCCUUCUUCCCUCCUUUCCUUUCUUCCUUUCCUCUUUUCCUUCUUCCUUCCCCCUUUUUUUCCUUCCUUCCUCCUUUCCUCCCUCCCUCCCCUCCUUCCUUCCUUCCUUUCCCUCUUUGUCCCACAUUUCUCCUUCCCCUCUUCCCUUUCCUCCUUCUUUCCCUCUCUCCUUCUUUCCUCUCUGUGGCCCUUGGCUUGCCUAUGUGAAUUCUGUGGCCCAUGGACGCUGAGCUGGAGGAGGCCGAGUGCUUCUCUGUUGCGCUUGCCCCUCACCUGGCCUUCUGCAGGAGGCAGCCAUGCUGGGGCCGCUAACACAGGCUGCACGCUGGUGCUAACCCUGUCCCCAAAAGGCCAGAAAUAGGAGAAGGUGUGGUUGACUCGGAGGGAUCAUCUCUUCAUUCUCACCCUUCUACAUGCAUUUAUUGAACACCGAUGGCAUGCCUUCUCCAUGCUGGAUGAUGGAGUCAACGCUGCCCCCUGUUGGACUGACUGAACCUGCAAUCCUGCCCAUCAGCCUCUGGGGAGCAAGCCCUGAGGCUUUGGAAUGCGUCCUGCUUCCAGUCUCCCAGCCCUCCACUUCCUCUGGCCAGUUCCUCACAUAUCCCCUCUGCUCCAUGUGAGUUCAUCCUCCCUUCCCACCCUUAUGUCCUUGGCACCAGCUCAGCCUCCCUGCCCCAAUCUCCCUGGGGCUUGGACAUCAGUGGCUUCCAGGCCCAUGCUUUCAGGUUGUUACUCAUGCUGUUUCCUUUUGCUUAUCUGCCUGGUGGACCUCAUUCAUUGAACGCCAAGACUGCUUUAUAAAAGACCACACCGGCCAGGCGCGGUGGCUCAUGCCUGUAAUCUCAGCACUUUGGGAGGCCGAGGCAGGCGGAUCACUUGAGGUCAGGAGUUCAAGCAGCCUGGCCAACAAUGCAAAACCCUGUCUCUACUAAAAAUAGAAAAAUUAGCUGGACGUGGUGGUGCGUGCCUGUAAUCCCAGCUAUGCAGGAGGCUGAGGCAGGAGAAUUGCUUGAACCCCAGAGGCGGAUGUUGUGGUGAGCUGAGAUCAAGACACUGCACUCCAGCCUAGGUGACAGGGUGAGUGAGACUCCAUCUCCAAAAAAAAAAAAAAAAAAAAAAAAAAAGACCUCCCCUUCCCAGAGUGGCCCAGGGAAUAGUAGGUAAGUAACUGAGCCAUCAGCGAAAGGGCAGAUUCUCAGCCAGGGAGCCAGAGAGUGGUGGAGGCAGGUAGUAGGGCUGUUCCUUGGGCUGUCCAGCAGGGAAUCUUGCCUCCCAGCCUCUGCCGGCUUGGGGCAAGACUCCCACUUUAUUUUUAAGAAGUCUGGCCUGGAACUUGGAGCUCCUUGAAAUAUUCUCCCCUACAGUCCCUUCUCU
rnacentral:lncRNA from 1 species